rnacentral:rRNA from 1 species
GUGGGGAAUCUUGCGCAAUGGGCGAAAGCCUGACGCAGCCAUGCCGCGUGAAUGAUGAAGGUCUUAGGAUUGUAAAAUUCUUUCACCGGGGACGAUAAUGACGGUACCCGGAGAAGAAGCCCCGGCUAACUUCGUGCCAGCAGCCGCGGUAAUACGAAGGGGGCUAGCGUUGCUCGGAAUUACUGGGCGUAAAGGGCGCGUAGGCGGACAGUUUAGUCAGAGGUGAAAGCCCAGGGCUCAACCUUGGAAUUGCCUUUGAUACUGGCUGUCUUGAGUUUGAGAGAGGUGAGUGGAACUCCGAGUGUAGAGGUGAAAUUCGUAGAUAUUCGGAAGAACACCAGUGGCGAAGGCGACUCACUGGCCCAAUACUGACGCUGAGGCGCGAAAGCGUGGGGAGCAAACAGGAUUAGAAACCCUAGUAGUCC